GAUGAACGCUAGCGGCAGGCCUAAUACAUGCAAGUCGAGGGGCAGCGCGGUAGCAAUACUGGCGGCGACCGGCGCACGGGUGCGUAACACGUAUGCAACCUACCUUCAACUGGAGGAUAGCCCGGGGAAACUCGGAUUAAUACUCCAUAACACAGGGAUCCCGCAUGGGAAUAUUGUUAAAGCUACGGCGGUUGAAGAUGGGCAUGCGUUCGAUUAGCUAGUUGGUGUAGGUAACGGCUCACCAAGGCUACGAUCGAUAGGGGGUCUGAGAGGAUGAUCCCCCACACUAGUACUGAGAUACGGACCAGACUCCUACGGGAGGCAGCAGUAGGGAAUAUUGGUCAAUGGGCGCAAGCCUGAACCAGCCAUGCCGCGUGCAGGAAGAAGGCCCUCUGGGUUGUAAACUGCUUUUGAUAGGGAACAAAUGCCACUUGCGAGUGGAGCUGAGUGUACC
rnacentral:rRNA from 1 species